GGAGGGGCAGAGCCAGGAGUACAAGAUGCUGCUGGGCAUCAAGACCCGCCUGGAGCAGGAGAUUGCUCAGUACCGGGCACUGCUCCACGAGGGACAGCAAGACCUUGCUUCCUCCCAAGGAGCUUUCCAAGGAGGUGGAAAAUCCUCCCAGUCAUAUUCUUCGAGUUCCUUCUCUCAGUCCCAGUCUGGUGAAGUGUCAGGGCAGUCAAGAGUGUGCUAGAGCAGCAGCAUUGAUGUCAGCAUCCUCCAAAACGCACUGAACUGACCCAUGGACAACAAGAGACAGAACCCGACGCUUCCGCAGUGCAGCUGAUACGAUGCAGCAUCCAUCAUCACCUUCCUUCCCUUCUGCAAUACUGGCCUUACUCCCCUUGUCUUUGUCAACUGAACCUUUGUUUAAAAGCUUGAAUUCUGCUGAAAAUGCCGUCAUUAAUAAAACUUCACUUCUUUGAUGCA
rnacentral:lncRNA from 1 species